ensembl:lncRNA
AGAAAGCAGGAAAAUCAGAGACUUGAUGGAUGGAGAGCAGACAGAUAGGACAAUGACCACAUGACAUAGUGGACCAAGGACACAUGAUGGGCGGAUGGAUGGAUGGGUAGGUAGAUGGAUGGAUGGAUAGAUUAGGAGAUGGAUGUAAAGAUGGGUUUUUACAGAUUCAUGGAUGGACAGGUAAACGGAUGAUGGAGCAUGGAUGGACAGGUGGAUGGAUGGAUAAGUGGAUGCGUGGACAGGUAGACAGAUGAAUGGAUGUAAGGAUGGGUUUCUACAGAUUGAUGGAUGGAUAGGUAAGUGGAUAGAUGGAUGGAAAUUUAGUUUGAUGCUUCGCUGAGUUUGUGGGUGGGUAGAUGGGUGGAAGGAUGGAUUGAAGAAUCAUCGACAGGCAGAUGAAUGAGUGCAUACAUGGAUGGAAGGAUAGGAAGAUAGGAUAACUGAGGGAGGGGUGAGUACAUGGAUGGGUGGAGGAUGACAGCUUGAUAGAGGUGUGAAAUGAUAGAUGGAUAGAAAUGUAAUAUUGAUAGACAGAUAAUUGAUGUACCAAAAUAGCACAAACUGGUCAACUCCAAUUUAACACAGAGAUCCAUGACCCAGGACCUAGGACGUCUGGUCCACUCUGCUGGGUGCUGGCUGCUGGCCUUCGCUGGCCGUCCCUCAGCCACUUCCCUGGGGAAGAACAGAGGCUCUGCUCACACCAUGGUCCCUGCUCACGCCCUGGGCACACUGACCCACACUCAGACCUUGAGGUGUGCCUGGUCCUCUCUGCACCCAGGUCCCGGCCAAGGCCAGCCCAAGAGCAGGGCUUAGGCAGGAGCCACUGAGUACGUGGCUCAGCUCAGGACAGCAGGGCUCAGGCCACACCUUCCCUGGACCAGCAAGGACGCUGCCCCGCCUCCUGUCCUGCAGCUGCGCUAAGACACUUGUAGGGACCAACCCCCUAUGGGCCCUGCUCUCACCCUCAGACCCCAUAGAGACACCACCAUUCCACCCCCAGUCCCUGAGGAGGUGUGUGAGGGAAGGGCUUGGGCCCAGGCCCCACCCACACGUUCACAUCCUGGCAGGCCUUCUGUGUCUUGCAGGUUGUCAGGAGCCCCUGCCCUGUGUGGUGCUGGAUCUGCCACAGGACAGCCUGGAGGAGGAGGCCCCCGGCGCCAACCUGUGGCCCACCACCGUCACCCUCCUCACUCUCUUCCUGCUGAGCCUGUUCUACAGCACAGCUCUGACCGUGACCAGCAUCCGGGGCCCACCUGGCAGCAAAGAGGGACCCCAGUACUGAGGCACAGGAGGGAAGCGUGCAAGAGCCCCUGGGAAAGCCAGCUCUGCAUGCCAGAGCCCAGCCCUCCAUGAAGCAGUGACCCCCCAUCCCCCUGCCAGGUGCACUCAACCCUUCCCAGAUGAAUGUUCUCGCUCUGCUGGACGAUGGCUCAGGGAAGCCACGGUGGCUGCAGAUUGGGAGACGCCUGCCACUCCAACACAGGGACUUCAGCAUGGACUGGACGCGGUGCCCCAGACAUGGCCUGGCCCUGCAGGAGACUCAAGUCCAAGACCAGUGCUUCACCUGGGAGGGCUCAAGAGGACGCCUCCCUGGAGUUGCCACGGACCUGAUCCUGACCACUGAGCCCUGUUCCUGGUGACUGACCCUGUUUCAGUUUACUGAGCCCUGGUCUUGCUCACUGUGUCCUGCUCGUGUACUCAUCUUUGGUCUGUUACUGACCCUUGGUCAUGUUCACUGAACCCUUUUCCUAAGCACUGACUCCUGGUUCUGCUCACUGGGCCCUGGUUCUGGUCACUCAGCCCUGGUCCUGGGACCUGCACCUGUCCUGACCCUGUCACUGAUUACAGCUCCCCGCCCCUGAGUUCUGGACCCUGCGUUUGCCCACUGCUCCCUGGGGCUACUGCUGAGCCCUGCUUCAGGUCCUGAGUUGGGUCCUGAACACAGGCAGUGGCCCUGGUCAGUAACCCAAGCUCCAGGUCACUGCCCCUGUAACUGGUCAGCGAGCUGAGGCCAGCUUAUUCAGUCCUGGUCCCCAGCUCGGGGCCACUCCUCAGCACUGAUUCCUGGUGCCAUCCCUGGUCCAUAGCCCUGAGCCCAGGUCCUGGGAACCGCACCCUGGGAGUGAUCAUGAUCCACACUCAGAUCACUCGGCACUGCCGGGCCCAGAUGAUGACCUGGCUCCUGCUUGCUUAGGCCCAGUCCCAGCCAAGGUAGCCUAUGGGGAGUGAGUCAAUGGAUGGAUGAUCGAUCUCUCCCUCUCUCCAUAAUUCAACACCCAGGGGCCAGCACUGUGGCACAGUGUUUAACUCUGCUGCCUGGGAUGCCAGCAUCCCAUAUGGGCACAAGUUCAUGACCUGCUUCCAACCCAGCUCCCUGCUAUGCAGCUGGGAGACCCAAGAGGAGGGCAAAAUGUCUGGGUCCCUGCCACACAUGUGGAGAAUCAGAUGAUGCUCCUGGUUCUUGGCUUCAGCCUGACCCAGCCCUGGCCAUCACAGCCAUCUGGGCAGUGAACCAACCACAGGCUCUCUGGUCUCCCUCUCUCUGUCUCUGUAACUCUGGCUUUCAAAUAAAGAAAUAAUUCUUUUCUAAAAAUAACA